rnacentral:lncRNA from 1 species
CAUAUAUCUGUAUGUGGUAGCCAUUUGAAAUGUCUAGAAAGAAAAUUAUUUAGGAACGGAGGGAGUAGUUGCUUGCUUCUUUAGAAUCACUCCAGUUUAGAGCAUACGACUUCCAAAAAAAAGUGCAUCACCAUAACCCAUUGAUAGCAUCAUCUGUGAGACGUCCCUGUAAAUUAACUAAAGAAGUAAAUAAAAUUGACAUUAUUGCCACAUCUUGAUUUGUAAACUAACUAUAUCAGCAAUAUUACCAUCAGCAGUCACCUUUGUCUCUAAAAACACUAUCAUCUGCAACAUGUGCUUGUGCUUGUGCACCACCACCGCAUGCCUCUCCCCUAACCUCUUGCAGCUUGUAGUAAAAGAAAUUUGGUGAGUUUCAAAAUAAUGAAACGAAUUAUGGCACUUGAAACACAAAUGUUAUUCUGCAACAUACCACUGAAUAGUGAAAGAUUGAGCUAACAUUUUCUUUAAUGACAAAAGGGAAAGAUUGAUUUAAAAGAGAAUAGGCAACAAGUAUUACAGAACUUUAGAAUAAUAGUACAUCCAGGUUUUCAUUUACUAUGUUAGCCUGUGUUUAUAUUUUCAUCCAUCUCUUACUAUGAAUAGCAGUACUUGGGGAUAAGAAUGAAUUACAUACAUACAUACUAGAAUCAUGAGGCAUCAGCGUCCAGCCCCUUCCUUCUU